UUUAGUUUUGUAUUAGUAUUUUUGUUAGGUAUUUGGGUAAUACUGUGGGCACCGGAGAUUAUUUAAGUAAGCGGCAGGUGGAGGACCGGCAUGCACCUGGGUGGGCCUAUUGUUUUUUAACAGGUCAAGAGAGGCAGCGGGAGCCACGAUUUUCUUUGUUCUUUUGUUUGUUUUCCUCAAAUAAACCAGCAAAAUACCGCAGCUCCUGCAUGGACAUUGGAUUUCUUUUGCCUGCUUACAUUACAUCCCCAUGGUGCAUCAGUGGUCAUUUGAUUAUUUUUGAUAUUAGUUUAUUUAGUUUUUUGUUUUUUGGUGUGUGUGUGUAUAUGUAUGUAUGAAAAACAAAAAUAGAGCUCUCAAGUAUGCACCCUUGAUCGCGAAACGGAGAGGGAAAGGAGGAUGAUGGGAUUUACUGAGUGAUUAUAGGCGCACUGGCAGAGGGAAAAGUUUGGCGUGUGUCGGUGUGUGUGCUGACUGCAGUCAAUGACGGAGCCGCUCAGUCACAUCAUCCCUCUCCUCCUGGAGGUUGACGAUGUGCAGCAACCUGGAAAGGUAGUCAGCCACCACAUUGGACUUUCCCGAUCGUUGUCAGAUGCUGAACUUGAACGGUUGGUGUGAAAGAUACCAUCUGGUUAGGCGACUGUUGUGGUCCUUCAUUGAGUUGAUCCAGGUCAGAGCUCUGUGGUCCGUUUCAAGAUCAAACUCCCGUCCAAGUAGGUAGUACCGCAGACUUUCCAAUCCCCACUUAAUGGCCAGGUCCUCCUCCUCCACCGUGGAAUACCUGGUCUCACGUGGCUGAAGCUUGCGGCUCAGGUACAGAAUUGGAUGCUCUUCUCCUGGAUCUCCUUGGGCCAGAACUGCUCCAAGCUCGACUGCAGAGGCAUCAACCUGUACCAGGAAUCGUCAGUUGAAGUCUGGACUUUUGAGAACAGGGGAAGUGCACAGGUGGGCUUUCAGGGUGCCGAAAGCUGUUUCACAGUCAUCUGACCAGGGUCAGGAAUCCAACGAUGCUUUAGCAGGAAUUUCAAAAUGAGUCAUUGCUGUGGGUAGCACACUGCAGCACUUGAAAUCCUGCUCGUCAUGUUUUCCUGCCCUCAGCCUCCCUGCCCUGAUUGUGUUCACCUGUGUCUCGUUAUCCCCUGAUUGUCUGUGUGUAUACCCCUGUGUUUCCUCCCUCGUGUUGCCAGUUCGUAGUGGUUUCCUGUGUGUCACCUUGUUCCAGCCUUUUUCUCUAUUAAGCCUAAUAGUGAUUUUGACCGUGCCUGCCUUACCAUUUUGCCUCUUGCCUGCUCCCUUUGGAUUUGUUGCUUUGAGUAUUGCCUUUCUGUGUACCAACCUGGACUGUAUUAAACUUUGCCUUUUUUCUGAACUCA